rnacentral:misc_RNA from 1 species
AUGUUUGGGAGACCGCUCCAGCUUUUUGGAUGGAUUAAUUGGAGUGCUGGUCACCGUUAAGUGGGUUUUCACAUUAUCUGAUGCUACUUGUGACGUUGGGCGGAUGAGGGAGGGAUGGGGUAUUUAAACACUGGGAUCCCCAAUCGAUCUCUAUUCUAUCUGCUUCAAUAACAAAAGACUCGAGGUGACAAAUAUUCGCGCCAAAAGUUGGACAUUUGCAGAACCCGACAACAGUAACACCACUGAUAAAACUGAAGACUGUGGGGAAUUUGGAGUCUCAAAACUAGUCAAAACCGUAUUAAGCGGACAGUCUGAGUCUCAAAAUGCAUUACUUAAACACAGUUUUUAAGGCGAUAUUUUUGUGUGUUAUCUUCGUAUGUGCCACAAAUGGGAGAAAUCUUGAAAGUCGGAGGGUGCGACGUCAAAAUGCUGACGUCAAAGCGACGGAAUAUUUCGCCCGUUUGGCGUUGGAAAGAAUGCCAACAGACUGUCUACAGAUAGGCUGUGGUUUAGUAGACUUGCAGGAAAGCGGCAAGAAAAAGAGGACGGACACACAGUCUAGCCCUUACCACAAGCAGCGCCUCCUAAAAAUCGUCCAACUCCUGAUACCAAAGGAACAGUAAAGCAGUUAUCCUGCUAAUUGCGACUUUUUGAAAAAAAAUGUUCCAAAUUCAACACGUUAACAGAACCUUUUGAACAAUGAACUUCGCAUUGCAAUAUUUCUAGAAGAUAUUUUUGUAAAAUAUUUGUCAUCAUGUACUGCUAAUGUGUUAAUAAAAAAACUACAAGAGAUAAUGUUUGUUCAAAACAGUUUGCUCUAUUGCAUGCAUAUAUAGAAUUUGUUAAAUGUGCUAAAGAUGGAAAUGCAAUUUUCGGAGAAUAUAAAUCACAUAAAGUUCCGCAGUUUUACUUAUCUAAAUGAAUAUAAAUGUUAAAGUAGAUUUUGGCAUUUUGGUCACAAUAUGUUAACUUCAUUUACAAUGUGCAAUACCCAGCAAUGCCAUUUUUAACGGUAGCCGAUUGAACAACUUUAUAGCCAAAAAAAAGGCGUGUCUCUUAUGACUAUUAUUAUCAUAAAAAAUAUUUUUGAAAUUUAUCAAUGUUUGUAUUAAAGGUGCUUGUUCUGCCUUGGUUAUUAUCAAUAAAUUCGAUGUAAUGU